AAUCAAUGAACUUGUAUAAGUAUAUAUUUUGAAAAUAUAAAAAAGAAAAUCUAAUUUCUAUUGAUUU
rnacentral:tRNA from 1 species